rnacentral:misc_RNA from 1 species
UUUAGAUCCGGAAAUCCCCUA